CUGACCUGAAAUUAGUAAGAUGACCCGCUGGACUUAAGCAUAUUACUAAGCGGAGGAAAAGAAAUUGACGAAGAUUGCCUUAGUAAGGGCGACUGAACCGGCAAAAGCUCGAAAUUGAAAUCGUUGAUUCAAAGAAUCUUCUGAAUUGUAAUCNGGCAAGCCAAAAUACGGAUAAUAUCUUAACAAGGUCGAAUCCUUGGCCAUAGAGAGUGAGAGCCUCGUGUNGUAUUGUCCGGAACNGGGGUGUCACACAAGAGUCGGGUUGCUUNGAACUGCAGCCUAAGCGGGAGAUAUGAAUCUUCCAAAGCUAAAUAUGGAUGGGAGACCGAUAGCGAACAAGUACUGUGAAGGAAAGA
rnacentral:rRNA from 1 species